rnacentral:sRNA from 1 species
CCGGAGCCUUGCCAAUUCCGUUUGUUUCCCUGUUGUCGCCCGCUUCACCCUGGAUCAUGUUCAAGAAGUUUGAUGAAAAGGAAAGUGUGUCCAACUGCAUCCAGUUGAAAACGUCAGUUAUUAAGGGCAUUAAGAGCCAACUGGUAGAGCAAUUUCCAGGUAUUGAACCAUGGCUUAAUCAAAUCAUGCCUAAGAAAGAUCCUGUCAAAAUAGUCCGAUGCCACGAACAUACAGAAAUCCUUACCAUAAGAAAACUGAAGCUCAGAGAGGGCACUGCCUUCCCCAAGGUCACCCAGCUACAAGUAACAAAGCCUGUGCUUCUAACACCAAAGACCACUUCCCGCUGAUACUGUGCCAGGCUUGUAAGUCUCUCUCUGGGCCUCCAUUCCCUCCUGUAGGAAAUUGGAGGGGUUGGGGUGGCUCCAGUGAGCUCUCCCCUUCUGAAACUCAUACUAAUCUGGGGCAGCCAAGGCUUAGCCCCGCCAGCCUGUGAACCUCUCACAGUGCCCACAGCCAUGCCCUCCUCCGUCCAGGGGCUGACAGGUGGGAGGGGUAGCCCUGCCUCAAGGAGUGGACUUACCUGGCCUCUCUGCUCAGA